rnacentral:misc_RNA from 1 species
AGCCUUACCAUUGAAGGAUUGCAAGACCUGAUAUACCUUUCUAACAAAGGUUUCCGAAGCCUCACGUCACUUGAAUAUUUGAGGAUUGAGAGAUGCCCUAAGCUUGCCUACUUUCCAAAGAAUGGCCUGCCUCCCUCUCUUCUGCAAUUGCAUAUCCACCAGUGCCCUCUGCUUCAACAAAGGUGCCAGAAGGGUAAAGGGCAGCACUGGCCAGAAUUAGCCUGCAUUCCAGAAGUGAUAUUCAAUUGUUAUAAAGUUUAGAUAGUGAUAAGGAAGAGGAAGAAUUAAGGUUUUAAAGCUUGUGCUGCUUAAUCCAGAAAUAUUUUACAUGAUCCCGAAUAAUGGCCCUAAAGGGUGGAAAACAGGUUCAGGUCCAGAGCAAUUUAAGGACUGGCAAAAG